UACGAAGGGGGCUAGCGUUGUUCGGAUUUACUGGGCGUAAAGCGCACGUAGGCGGAUCGUUAAGUCGGGGGUGAAAUCCUGGAGCUCAACUCCAGAACUGCCUUCGAUACUGAAAGUCUUGAGUCCGGGAGAGGUGAGUGGAACUGCGAGUGUAGAGGUGAAAUUCGUAGAUAUUCGCAAGAACACCAGUGGCGAAGGCGGCUCACUGGCCCGGUACUGACGCUGAGAUACGAAAGCGUGGGGAGCAAACAGG
rnacentral:rRNA from 1 species